AUGACGCAUUGUACGUUACAGUCACUUUAUAAACACUUAUUCUUACCUCUCUCAAACAUUUUGAGAAGUUUCAAAUACAAUGGCCAGAACAAGGAAAGAAACAACUAUACAUAUAUCGAGCUCUUCGAAGAAGAAACCAAAAUAUUUUAGCAGACAACACUAGCUGUUCAUGUAGACAAAUGACUUGCUACUUCAAGCAACAUGGGAUUCCAUUUCAUCACCACUUUAUCACAGCACCUUCCAUCUAUUUAUCUUGUCCUGUCGACCUCAGAUUCUUCUGAGCUACAGAUCUUAAGUUUUGAUCUCAAGAGUUUUAUCUAUCACGUUUCAGGCGUUCUUGAUGAGUUUUGAUCUCAUGUUCUUUAACUAAUGUACAUAGAAACAUGUUGAGCAAGAACAGCAUUAAAAGCUUUACCUUAGAGGAAGAAUCUUUCUUUUUGGAUGAGUCUGACUUUUUCUCUUGAUUCUUAAACAUGUCGGAAAAGGCAUCAAAUCCAAAAGGCCCUCCAUGUCCAAAGGAUGAGAGACUAGUAGUCGCCGCCUUAGCAGCAAGUGGAUAGAAUGCAGGAGAGGAAAACUUAGGUUUUUCCGCUCCAGCACAGGGGCUGUCCGAGAGCGAGACAACAUCAUCAUGACCAUGGAAAAGCCUAAAUGCAGGGUCAAACAGUUUCCGUGUAUGGUCUAAGGACGCAUGUUCUUCCAGUUUACGUCUACGAUAUACAGAAAGUGAUGCGGCCAUUAGUCGAGACACUCGUGGCUUUCCUGUUUUCUUUCUCAAACCUUUUUUUCAUUGAUCACGUUCUUGGCUUCUCACUUGCAUAUGUUUUCUUAAAAGAAAAAAUGAAUUCCAUAUCCUAUGAUAUGACUAAUUAAAUGUGUUUUAGAUGUAAUAUGAUAAAAUAAUAAUAAUAAUAAUAUGUUUUAUAGUAUCAAGAAAAGUUAUAAUUUGACUUCAUUGCAAUUAAAACAAAUAAUGCAGUGUUUUACUUAUAUUUAUAUCAACUUUUAUAUAUUACUUGCUAAUUUAUAAUUUUAAUAUGACUAUAUACUUGCAUAAGAUUUUUUUUUAAAAAAUAUUUAAUAUCUUAUCAAAUUAUUUUCUUUUUGAAUCAGUCUACCUCGAGCUGGUAAAAUUGAUUAUUUUUGUAGUUAUUAAUCAAUUAAAUAUUAAUAUAUAGAGUUUCUACUGUAAUUCCAAGUUAUAUCUUUUUAUUUUAUUCAAUCAGCCGAGUCUUUACAUCAUUCAAAAAAAAUUGUACUUAAUUAUGAUUUUAUUCUUGUUUAUCUAAAACAUAUAUAUAUAUAUAUAUUAAAUACAAUUGCCGAAAGUAAGUCAGAGAAAAAAACAAUUUCAGCAUUCAAAGAAAUAUAAAAAUGUUUUAGCAGACUACACUAGUUGUUUCUGUAGAACAGGAUAUCGAUUUGCUAUUUAUUAUUUAAUUAGAAUAAUAAUAAUACGGAAAUAUUUGAAAUAUAUAAUUAUAGACUUUUCUUCUGGAAAUUUUAAAGAUGGCGUUUGGGUUUACAAAUGGCGUCACAUUCUACUUUGAUGCUUCGGCACUGUUUUGGUUUUGAGUUACAACACCAUUUAGAAUCAUGUUCUCUGUAGCAAUAUGGUCCCCGAGCAUCAACUUUUAAGUUAGCACCUGUAUAAUUAAAAUUAAAAAUUAAAAAUGAUAAAGAAAAUGAUUAUGUUUUUAAAGGUAUGAUGAUAAAAUAUUGGAUAAAAAGUUAACUAUAUAUAAUACUAGGUCCGGUCCGCGCAUAUUUAGAUUUUGAUAUUUUAAUAUAUGUAUUUAUAGUUAUAUGAAUAUUAUACGACAUAUGAUGCAUUUUUAGUGUUAAUAGGUUGUCGAUUCAAAAUUUUUAAUUAGCUAAUUGCAGAUUUGCUGAAUUUAUAACUCUGGAAGGCUUUGUUGCUUUAACUUUUCUUCAACAACACUUAGGCACUGAGAUAUUUGAUUCGGUAAAACCAGAGCCGUGCGAAGUUCUUUUGAUGCCAUAAGCCAAAAAAAAUCUUUAGUCAAGCCAAAUAUGUUCAUAGUUUUUAACUAAAUGUUUCCACUUAAAUAACAAAUAUAUUUUCAUGUAACAAAACUAAAUAAUUACCAAACUUUAUUAGUUUAUAUCUAACUUAAAAAAAAUAUUUAUAGUUUUUAAAUAAAAUUGUAACAUUCAAAUUUAGUCUUUAAUAUAAAUAAUGAAUUUAGAAUAGAUAGUAAUAUACUGAGAAAAGCUAAUUCUAAUAAUUUUAUUAGGGAAUUUGGUUGAUGACAAAUAUGUUUUCUCUAAAUUAAUAUUAAGAUUGAAAAAAAUUGAGGUGAAAUAUAAUUAAUUAAUUUUAGAAUUAGAGUUGUGAUGAUAGCAAAAGAUUUCUAAUAAUCUAUAUUAUAUUAAAAGGGAUAUAUAAGCUCCAUACAGCAUGUCUACGUAGGACAAUUAAAUCAUCCAAUUAUAGAGUUCCGUUUUGACAGGUCAUCUACUCAACACAAAAACGGACCUCUACAUAGUCUGUUAGGUAUUUUGUGUUAGCCCAUCAGACCAAUUCUCCUGUUCACGAGUGUCGAUAUGUUUUGUCUCUUCCACUUCUCCAUUUUUUUUUAGCGUUGCCGAUUCUUUCACCUCUCUUUUUUUUUUCUCUUAUCUAAUAAAACCUUUCACCAAUGAAUCCAGAACAACCAUCUAUCUCUUCCCUCAUCAUAACCUUCUUCUUAAUCUUCUACUUUUUCUCCCACAUUCGAUUGUUCCUGCAGAAACAACCUUAAACAGUAACAAUCGUCCAAACACAACACUCAUAUCCGAGCAAAUCAAACUUUGGUGGCCUUUUCUCAUCAAACCGACCGAGUAAAUAUAACUUAUUUUUCAGCAUCCAAGUAGCUAAGAGAUUCGAAAAUUUUCAGAUGGGUGAAGACCGGAGAGGAAACAAUUUCUCGCCAAACAACUGAGGUGUAUCUGAUGAGUCUGGUUACCUGGUGUUCCCGAUCACGACGCGAUUGAUAACCGGAGGAGGAGGACGGUUGGAGAUUAAUAGCAGAAACGGAAUCGAAGAUGAGGAUGAAGAAGAUGAGGAGGAAGAAGAUCGAGGGGAGGUGUUCCCGAUCACAAUGCGAUCGAUAACCGGACGUAACCAGAUUCUCGAUUGGAUAUAGGGCCUCUUGUGAGUUAUUUUAUCUUUUCUCCGAAACAGUAGACGAUCAAGCUUCCAUGCGUUCAUGAUAUGAUAUUAACUCAAGCUUUAAUUCAGGUCUUCAUGGCUGCAUCAAAACACGAGUAACUCUUUAGUCCUCAUCUCUCAUCUUUAAAUUUUUAUUUCGUUUGAUAUACUGUGAGAAUUUUCUUGCUGCAGAUCUAAGAAGGCUCUGUAAAAUGAUUUUGUGAGCCCAGUUUCAAUCCCUAUUACCGCUUAAGAAUCAGUGGAUUGGAAGCGGCAGUGCUUAAAGUCUUGGUAGAUCGACGAUUCGUUUCCAGUGUGAAACCAGAAGCAAGCCAUGGAGGUUCUUGAUAUCAGCGUCAGAUAGACUGGUAUACAUGUGUGAUUAUUUAGACGAUAUUGAUCGAAGCCAGGUACUUGCAAACAUAGCGGUGUUGGCAAGGGGAUGAAGCUUCUAGAUUAAAUGAGUGCAUUGUUAAGGCUCUUCUUACAGUGAGGAAGUCAUCUUCAGAAGACACCACUCCUUUCUUGCAACUCUGUCAUUUCAAUAAAUUUAUCGCUUAAAAGAUAGUAUUGUAGGUUAGACCAUUCUGAGAAUUUCAAGAGCUUCACUUGGAAGAACGUCCUCAACUCCUCCAAGAGGUUGCUGUCGGGGAGCAAUGUUGUAGACAUCGAGAAGGUGUUUAGAAAUGAUACCUUUUUUAAAAGUAGGAGUCACGUGCAAAACAGAAGGUGAUAGUUCAAGCUUUGAUCACUCUGAAACUUUCCAAUUGACUUUUAGGCGCUAUUCCUCACUCUCCUUACCACAAAGAGGAAGGCCUAUGGGUACGUCUUGCGGAGUCAAACGACGUAUGGUUCUUUCAGAAGGUUAGUUUCAUGGAUGAAGCUAAAGCUAUACACACUUCUUCAAGUGUUGUUAGUUAGGCAAUGAAAAGUUUAGGAGCAAGCAUCGAGGCAAAGAACAAUGAAGUUAGAGAAGGUUAAAAGCCGCUCAAGAUUGGUGACGGUGAAACACUAAAGACCUGCAGCAGAUACUAAUAAUUUGACUUGCUUAUGAGUUCUGCCUAAGAACUAGUGAUUUGGAGGGUCAAGUUGCAGAAGAAGGUAUGGAGGAGGAAGAAGAAAAUGAGAAUGAAGAGAAUUAGGAAAGCAAAUAUAGUGAGGAAGAGGAAGAUAAUAAGAAAGGGUCAAAGGAAGUAAACGAGAUGGGGUCGAGUUCCAACGAGUCGGUAUCAAAUUAAGAUUGAAAAACAAAAAGGCAUUAUACUUGCACAGUGUAGAUUUUACCUCCAAAAUUUAUACAGUAAUACUCAAUGACUUUAGCCUGUUACUUUUUCUUCUACUGAUUUCGUAGACGUUUUGGAUAUUUUUAGUUUUGACAUUUGUUACUCUUCAAUUUAUGUCUUGAUCUGAUU